rnacentral:rRNA from 1 species
UACAGAGGUCCCGAGCGUUGUUCGGAUUCAUUGGGCGUAAAGGGCGCGUAGGCGGCGCGGCAAGUCUGAUGUGAAAUCCCGGGGCUCAACCCCGGAACUGCACUGGAUACUGCCUUGCUCGAGUACUGGAGAGGGAACUGGAAUUUACGGUGUAGCAGUGAAAUGCGUAGAGAUCGUAAGGAAGGCCAGUGGCGAAGGCGAGUUCCUGGACAGUUACUGACGCUGAGGCACGAAGGCCAGGGGAGCAAACGGG